GGGCUCGUGGUGGAACUAGCAGACACGCUCGCCUCAGAAGCGGGUGCCCACCGGCGUGCAGGUGCAACUCCUGCCGGGCCCACCA
rnacentral:tRNA from 1 species